GCCCGGAUGGCGGAACUGGUAGACGCAAGGGACUUAAAAUCCCUCGGCCGCAAGGCUGUGCCGGUUCGAUUCCGGCUCCGGGCA
rnacentral:tRNA from 1 species